GAAAUGAUAUGAAUAUGAAUGCUUAUGCUUUUGUAAUUUGCAAAGAAGAUAGCAAAACAACUCUCUAGACUAUACCAAAAUCAAUGGUCUUUUAUGUAAACUUGUUUCUUCACCAACUAAUUCCUUUCAUCCACUGAUCGCACCACUACGAUUCACACGCACAUCACAAAGCCCAAGCUGAUGGUGUGAACCACAAGCCAGUUAUAAACAGUCGCGGACAAUCUUUCCCGGGACAUAAAAUUAUGCUACGAUUAAUCCAAACACACACGCAACCAUGCCAAUCACCAAGGUGCAGUUACCCAACGACGACAGCAAGUUCUACGGACGCAAAGACGUCGAGUUGGAGGACGGUGCUGUGCUAAGGAGCUAGAUAACGUACGACGGCGCGACGACGAUGUCUUGAUGGUGAGGUAAGGACUCUGACGUGGAGAGGAGGACUGGGUGCCGGCAAGCUCGCACACCAGGGAGCGCGGCGAGCAGCAGCGUAUGUCCAGAUGCAGCGAUGAGGGAGGUCGAGUAGAGAAAACCGCCGGCGGGCCGGAGCUGCAGGGGAUAAUGACAACAAUAAUACUAAGUACAUGGUCGGCAGUUCCAAAAAAAAAAUCUACGGCGAACCCAUGAGGCAGGCGCCAGGGAAGACCUGUGCUGAGCGCUGCUGUAGCCUCGGCGAGGUGCUCAGCAGCCACGUACGAUGGGGAAAGCCAAGCAGGGUGGAGGCACGACAAAGUGGGGCUUUGUGUGAUAAAGGAAGGGAGCUGAGCCGAGCGCUACUGCUGCUGCACGAGGGAGGCACAGUGGGGAAACCAGGAAAUCGUCGAGAGCACAAGCAAUUCAGUUUGGGCUCCAAACUAGCAUAACAAGAGUUGGCUUAAUGGAGGUCGGGCUGGGGCUAUUUUGUUAACAGCACUCAAUCUCGAGGACGAACUCACACUCAAUUCACUCCAACACAAACUAUGAUUUGAGACAGAAUAUAGGAUAGACAGCAAGCAGGUGAUCAGAUACUAGAGAAAGACACUAGAAGAAUCUAGAAGCACAGGAAAUGUGGAUCUGGGUACAAGAGGAAGACGCUAAGGAAGAAGAAGCAUAAUAACCAAGAGUCUGUUCUCUGAAUAAUUCCCUGCUGCUAUGUUUCCUUGCUCCUUUGUAGCACAAGACAUCAGAUAGUUGGGCUGCACCAUGGGCUAUUGGGCCGGCAGUCCCUAACAUUCCCCCUUUCUUAAAAUGCGGCUUGCCCUCAAGCCGAUGUGUAACAUUACUUCCACCAAUUACUUCCACCAGGAUCCCAGGAAAAUUGCAAGCACCAGAUGACUCUAAAAAGGAUGAACAUGAUCCACAUAACUGAAUGAAUGACCUGAGGAAUCCUUUGUGAUCCAAACACUAUUACUGCAUCAACGGACAAAGCCUUUAUUUUCCCUGCUCUUGGAAUUUCUAACUCAUACAGUCCAAAUACAACUAGUGCCACCAAAGGAGUAGCUGAAAGUGAACUCAGAUACCUGGCAACAUUACACCAAAGGCCACUGAAGGCAACUAUAAUCUGUAAAGCUGAAGCCACAAUCAACGCACCAUGUGUCCCACGCAUGAUGCCCAGAAAUUUAAUGUGUGAACUAGGUUCAUUAGCAGAACGUCCACCAAGGAUGAUAGAAAUGGUAUACAGAACAAAAGUGUAUGACCCGCCAGUCACUGCAGGCAACCUGGUACCCAAGAAACUCUGACGUAGGGUGUUCAUACCUACAACGAACAUCAAUGUCUGGAUAACCACAACUUUGUCCUCAUAUUUUCCUCCCAUUUGUGGAACAAGUGCAGUUGGUAUGAUCACAGUUGUACCAAGCAUGACCGCAUAAUGUUGGAACCCAAGAAGAACAACUUUAGCUCCAUAUAAAUUUCCAGGUCUGUGAUACGAGGGAUGAUCAACAAACACCCGUUCAACUGAAUCUCUAUACUCAUGGAAGAAAGUAACUUCGUGUUCACCGCCCAAGCAUGGAAUCUGAAUGUGCUUCUCUGUGUAAAAUGCAAUUGCAUAAUUCUUAGCAGUAAUGUUAUCUUGAUCCAAGUCAACAAGUAUCUUGUUUAGCUGACGAUGACCAUUGUCUGCGACGCUAGCCUGUCUCAUUUGCUCUUCAUUCAGACCUGUGCCCUGGAGUGUUUUCCUAUGAAGUGCAUCCACAACACCCUGAAUUGGAAUCUUGAGCACAAGAGCAUUGCUAGGGGAGCCAACAGAAACAAGCAGCUGCUGAACCCUGACGUUCAGUGCUGACCCAGUGAUUAAAUUUACUAAACACAAAUCCAAACAUUGAUUCUGAAUAUUCCCAGCAUCAGGUGACAAUUGCAAUGUAUACUGUAAGGAAGCACUUCUAGUACUGCAGGUGUAAUGAAUUCUGAACAAAUUGCCUCGAUCAAAUGCUAACCAAGGAGGCUUUGGCAGGAUGUAUCCGACUACUACCAGUGAUUUAACGGGUUGUGGCCAUGGUGGACUUUGUUGUAAAGCAACCAGGUCCAGAAUGAAAAAAUACCAUAAAAUGAAGCGCAACUCAAUGGUGGCUGUCAUCAAAGUGCUAUGUUCCCUUGGUUGCAUUUCACCGAGCACCACUUGAGCAUCAAUCAAAGUAGAUGAAGGUGUGCCUGCAAUAGUCACCACGGCUACCAGACUGGGCUUACCAAUGUUGUGCAGUGCCUGGCUGGGACAAUUGGUCGAACACGCGAAGGAAGAGCUGCUACUGCUGCCCGUCUCCGGCUUGAUGAUGAUGGAGGAGUAGAUGGUAGUGACGACAGCAUUAUGGAACUCGACGCAGUAGUUGGUGAUGUCGUCCUCGGCGUAGGGGUCGAGCAGCAAGAGUUGGUCGAGCUGCCCGGGGUCUCCCGCGCCCGCGGCCAUGGCCUCCUCGACAGCGGAAGUCUGGGCGUCGUGCGGUCGAUCUUCACAAACAUCCUGAUCUGCUCUCGACUCGAGUGCUUCUCCCCUGCCGCUCGUCCUGCUCGCUGAUUGAUCGCUGCGCACCUGCGCCUGCUGCUGGAGCUCGAUCUGGAAGGUGCCUACUGCUGGAGCUCGAUCGAGAGGUCCUGGUGGAUCCGUCCAGGGAGCAGGGUGCUCGCCUGCUCGGCCGUAGACAUUGAAGGCGCCCGGGCCCCUGACCGCGGACUGCAUGUGCGCGUCGAUCUCCCAGGCCUCCCGGAGCGGGGUGUGGGCGUCGAAGCGGAUCUGCUGCAUGAAGGAGGGCCUCCAGAUGGUGAGGGCGUGUUGCGAGUAGUUCCCAGCGAAGCUGAGCGUCGGGGUUCGGCGUCGGGUUGUGGCCUCCACCGGAACUGGGACUGCGCCCAACUCAACGAGACCGCCUACGGCCACAUCGCCAUGGCCUGGCUCGAGGGCCCCUUCGCCGACAUGGGUGGGGAUGCUGUCGGCGCCCGAGCCAAGCGGCGCGUCGGGGUCGGUGGAGGUGACGAGCGCCUUGGUAGGGACGGCGCCCGAUUCGCUGUUGCAGGGGAAGGAAGUGCUUCCUGGCAGAUCGAGAUCCUCGCCACCGAAGAACCCUCCCCAGUUGUCGGCGACGACGGAUGGCGCCGUACAGUACUGCUCUCUGUCAUCGAAGCACCCGCCCCAGUUGUCGACAAUGACGACGGCCUCAACAGCCGCAGCGGGGGUGGCCGGCACGCUGGCGGAUGCGUCGGAGAAGUGGUCGACGCUGAGCGGGGUGGCUGGGAGAUCGAAUGACGCGGAGGGCAAUGACCCCAGAAGGUGGGCGGGCUGCUGCAGCUUGUCGAAGAGCCGGUUGACACGGGCAUCUGCCUCGUCGAACCUUCUGUUGAUCUCGUCGAGGAGGAACUUGAGGGCAGCGGGAUCCAUUGGAGCUAACCGAGAAUCGACUCCUCUGAUACCAAUUGUUAACAGCACUCAAUCUCGAGGACGAACUCACACUCAAUUCACUCCAACACAAACUAUGAUUUGAGACAGAAUAUAGGAUAGACAGCAAGCAGGUGAUCAGAUACUAGAGAAAGACACUAGAAGAAUCUAGAAGCACAGGAAAUGUGGAUCUGGGUACAAGAGGAAGACGCUAAGGAAGAAGAAGCAUAAUAACCAAGAGUCUGUUCUCUGAAUAAUUCCCUGCUGCUAUGUUUCCUUGCUCCUUUGUAGCACAAGACAUCAGAUAGUUGGGCUGCACCAUGGGCUAUUGGGCCGGCAGUCCCUAACAUAUUUCAGAGGGAAAAUGCGAAUUAACAAUCCCCAACACACACCUGCAUGUUUACCACGCAAGGUGGAAGCUCAGGGAAAAAGUCCAGCACACCUUUAC
rnacentral:lncRNA from 1 species